rnacentral:lncRNA from 12 species
CCCAGAACCACUUCCCAACACAGGUGGCUUCAGGGAGGCCAUGAACUUGUAUUUCCUCACGUGACUGACAUAAAAUUCUAUGCUAUCAGAAGAUGAAGUAGAAAUAGACUUCUCUUUUCAUUAGAAUUUUAUACAUGACCGGAAGAGUCAAGCACUUCCUCCUGAAGGUUAGAAAGAGGAGGGAGCUCUGAGUUGUACCCAGCCCAGAGUGAAUCUCAGAACAGCUGAGGGGAGGGAAACAGGAGAAGAGGGAACAAGAAUGGCAGAAAAUGUCCUUUAUGCUGACUUGAACUUGCCUGACCCAAGCAGACCCAGAAUCCUGACGGUCCCUGAUGUCCAAGAUGGGUGGAGUUAUGAACACCCCAGGAAACAGGGGUUUAGCACCCCA